UACGUAGGGUGCGAGCGUUGUCCGGAAUUAUUGGGCGUAAAGAGCUUGUAGGCGGUCUGUCGCGUCUGCUGUGAAAAUCCGGGGCUCAACCCCGGACUUGCAGUGGGUACGGGCAGACUAGAGUGUGGUAGGGGAGACUAGAAUUCCUGGUGUAGCGGUGAAAUGCGCAGAUAUCAGGAGGAACACCAAUUGCGAAGGCAGCUCGCUGGGACGUAACUGACGCUGAGACGCGAAAGCGUGGGGAGCAAACAGG
rnacentral:rRNA from 1 species